GNUAUAUAAUAAUAUUAAAGUAGCGUAAUAAUUUAUCAUUUAAUUAAUGAAUAUAAUGAAGAUUUUAUGAAUUAAAUACUGUCUUUAAAAAAUAGAAUAAAAUUAAUAAUCUAGUGAAAAAUCUUAAUUAUUUUUAAAAGACGAUAAGACCCUAUAGAACUUAUUUAAAUUUUUAAAUUUACUGGGGAAGUAAAAAUAAAUACAAAAUUAUUUUUAAUAAAAAAUUACUAAUUUU
rnacentral:rRNA from 1 species